rfam:Triticum urartu cultivar G1812 contig1109349, whole genome shotgun sequence.
CUAGUACCCCUCCGUCUGGAAAUACUUAUCAUCAAAAUGAAUAAAAGGGGAUGUAUCUAGAUGUAUUUUAGUUCUAGAUACGCCCCUUUUGUCCAUUUUGAUGACAAGUAUUUUUGGACGGAGGGAGUAUCUG